UACGGAGGGUGCAAGCGUUAAUCGGAAUUACUGGGCGUAAAGCGUGCGUAGGCGGUUCGUUAAGUCUGUUGUGAAAGCCCCGGGCUCAACCUGGGAAUGGCAAUGGAUACUGGCGAGCUAGAGUGUGUCAGAGGAUGGUGGAAUUCCCGGUGUAGCGGUGAAAUGCGUAGAGAUCGGGGAGGAACAUCAGUGGCGAAGGCGGCCAUCUGGGACAACACUGACGCUGAGGAGCGAAAGCCAGGGGAGCAAACGGG
rnacentral:rRNA from 1 species